rnacentral:rRNA from 1 species
GAUGAACGCUAGCUACAGGCUUAACACAUGCAAGUCGAGGGGUAACGAGAGAAAAGCUUGCUUUCCUUGUCGACGACCGGCGCACGGGUGAGUAACGCGUAUCCAACCUGCCCCCAACUAGGGAAUAACCUUGCGAAAGUAAGACUAAUACCCUAUAAUUUCCUCAGAUGACAUCUGACGAGGAAUAAAGAUUUAUCGGUUGUGGAUGGGGAUGCGUCUGAUUAGCUUGUUGGCGGGGUAACGGCCCACCCAGGCAACGAUCAGUAGGGGUUCUGAGAGGAAGGUCCCCCACAUUGGAACUGAGACACGGUCCAAACUCCAACGGGAGGCAGCAGUGGGGAAUAUUGCACAAUGGGCGCAAGCCUGAUGCAGCCAUGACGCGUGUAUGAAGAAGGCCUUCGGGUUGUAAAGUACUUUCAGCGGGGAGGAAGGCGGUGAAGUUAAUAACUUCACCGAUUGACGUUACCCGCAGAAGAAGCACCGGCUAACUCCGUGCCAGCCGCCGCGGUAA